GAUGAACGCUGGCGGCGUGCCUAAUACAUGCAAGUCGAGCGAACAGACGAGGAGCUUGCUCCUCUGACGUUAGCGGCGGACGGGUGAGUAACACGUGGAUAACCUACCUAUAAGACUGGGAUAACUUCGGGAAACCGGAGCUAAUACCGGAUAAUAUAUUGAGCCGCAUGGUUCAAUAGUGAAAGACGGUUUUGCUGUCACUUAUAGAUGGAUCCGCGCCGCAUUAGCUAGUUGUUAAGGUAACGGCUUACCAAGGCGACGAUGCGUAGCCGACCUGAGAGGGUGAUCGGCCACACUGGAACUGAGACACGGUCCAGACUCCUACGGGAGGCAGCAGUAGGGAAUCUUCCGCAAUGGGCGAAAGCCUGACGGAGCAACGCCGCGUGAGUGAUGAAGGUCUUCGGAUCGUAAAACUCUGUUAUUAGGGAAGAACAAAUGUGUAAGUAACUAUGCACGUCUUGACGGUACCUAAUCAGAAGGCCACGGCUAACUACGUG
rnacentral:rRNA from 1 species